GAGACGCUUGCUUCAAGCCAUAUAAACUUUUAUUUAGCUUGCAAACUUUUGGUGCUCCAUUUACAGAAUAACCAAGGGGCAUCUGUAUAUAUACCUCUUCUUCAAGGUCUCCAUGCAAAAACGCAUUGUUAACAUCAAAUUGGUGCAAAUACCAUCCUCUCACUGCUACCAUUGCAAGUAAUGUCCUCACUGUUACCAAUUUUGCCACCGGUGAAAUUGUUUCGUGGUAAUCUAUGCCCUCCAGUUGGGUGUAUCAUUUUGCCAUCAAUCUUGCUUUAUGCCUUUCAAUUGUUUCAUCAGCAUUAAAUUUCACCUUAUAAACCCAUCUACAUCCUAUAGGUACCUUUCCAGGUUGAAGAUCAGUCACAUCCUAGGUUUGGUUUGACUCAAGUGUUCCUAUUUCAGCCUUCAUAGCUUCACACCACCUGGUUAUUUGACAGCCUCUUGAUAAGAAGCAGGCUCUGGAUGUUCAAGUAUAGAUGAGGUAAAAGCUUUGUACUUAUUUGAGAGUGUAUGAUGUGAAAGUGUUAAACAUAAAGGGAAUGGAUUACUUGGUUUCACAACACCUUUCUGCUUGUUGAACUUUUGAGAAUGGUUGAGUGAGGAUGCCUGUUGACAAAUAAAAUCCUCCAAAUAGGUGGGUGUUUUUCUGUUCCUGUUAACUGUACGGGACAUUAGAUAACAACUCAUACUAAUCAGGAUUUUCAUUGCUUUCUGCAGGCUCUAUACUUUGACUGGACUCUUGUGUAGGUUCUAUUUAUGGUUGAUGAUUAGAAUUAACAGGAUAAUUUAGGUCAAUACCACUUGGUUGGGUAUAAGGCAAGUUUGUAAGAUUUGACAGCUUGUAGGUAGGAUUUGGUAAAUUAUCAUUGGCCUUAGGUUUAGAUGUUUUGCAAGGGAAUAUUUUUUGAUGGAAUAUUACAUCCCUUGAUGUGAAAAUCUUAUAUGAAAAUCUUGUUAGUUUCUAUGUCCAGUAGCUUGUAUCCCUUGGUCCCAAAAGGGUAAUCCUAAGAAGAUACGCCUGCUGGCUCUUGAAUCGAACUUAUGUCUGUUGUGGCUAAGUGUGGUGGCAAAAGCAAGGUAGCCAAACGCUCAAAGGUUGGAGUAGUUUGGUUUGGUCUUGAAAAGAAUUUCAAAUGGGCUUUUAUCACAAAGAUUGGGAGUAGGUGUUCUGUUAAUGAGAAAGACAGCUGUUAAGACACAAUCAUUCCAGUAUAGCAUAGGCAAUGCACUCUGGAAUCUUAAUGCUCUGGCUACGUUCAAGAUGUGUUGGUGCUUCCUUUCAACAACGGCAUUCUGCUGGGGAGUCUCAACACGUGGUUUGAUGUAUAAUCCCCUUUUCCGAGCAAAUUGUUUCAAGUUAAAUUCUCCUCCAUUAUCAGUUCUAACAACCUUUAUUUUGGAAUUAAAUUGUGCCUCUAUCAUGGCAUAGAAAUUUUGUAAAACAAUAGAUGCAUCAGACUUCAAUUUUAGCAAAUAAACCCAAGUGCACCUGCUGUGAUCAUCAACAAUUGUAAGAAAGUACUUCGAUCUAUCAUAAGCAAUUUCAUUACAAGGCCUUUAUAAAUCAUAAUGAAUCAAGUCAAAACAAUUUUGUGAUCUGUGUUGGCUAAUAUUGAAAGGCAGCCUAUGUAAUUUUGCUAAGGGACAAAUAGGGCAGUGUUUGUUGUUGUGUUUUGUUUCCAAACCUUGAUGUAAAUUGGUUAAGUGCAACCUAGAAUCUGAUAAGUGGCCUAAUCUGAAAUGCCACAAAUCAAAAUCAUCCUAACUAACAUUAGUGGCAGCCGACAGAACGACUUGGUUACUCAAUUUUGGUAAGUCAUUAACAAGAGUUGUGGGAGAGACUUCUUUUGGCAUCAAAUGGUAAAGGCCUUUUCUCACUUCACCGAGACCAAUCGUCCUUCAAGUUGAAAGGUCCUGCACAUAACAUGAAUCAGAAGAGAAAAUGAGACAACACUUAGAUCCUUGAGCUAAUCUUCUAGCAGAUAUGAGAUUGAAUGAGAAAGAUGGAACACAUAAGACAUUACGGAGUAAUAAAUUGUCUGUGAUUCUAACACUCCCUAUAUUAGUAGCUAAUGCCAUAGUUCCAUUAGGUAAUGCAACAGAUUGUGAGAUUUUGGAUUUGAUAUUUGUGAGAAAGGAUACUGAGCAUACCAUAUGGUCUGUGGCUCUUCCUGUAUCCAUAACCCAAGGUAUGCUGGAACUUAUUUUGUUCUCUACCCUGUAAGCAGAUGAACACGUGUAGGUGCAAGAAACUUCAGAUGUAUCUAUGUGUUUGGAAGAAAGUAAAUUUAGACCCUGAACAUGGCUAGUAGGUAACGUAUCAGGCUGGUUGAUUGGUGGUUUGAGUAAAGCUAUCAACUGAGUAUACUGAUCUUGAGUCAAACCAACUUGGUUCCUGUUACCAACUUGCUCCUGUGCAGGCACCAUAGGCGGAGAUUUCUAGCUUGUGGAAGCAAGAUUUGCUUGCGGGUUUCCAUAGAGCGUGUGGCCUGGUAGAUAUCCAUGGAUUUUAAAAUAAUUGUUGAUAGUAUGCCCAGGCAUUUGGCAAUGUAUGCAGACUGAUUUGUUUAUUUGCCUUAAAACACAUUUCUAGUGAAUGACCUCGUAUCUUGCAAAAAGUGCAGUAAUACCUUUUUGGAGGCCCUAGAUUUCUCUUUUCUGCCUCUCGGGGACAGUUUUUGACACGAGUGCCAUCCCUUCAGUGCUAGGCAUAUCAGUGGAAAUAUCCCUCCUCUUCUCUUCUUGUCGAAUUGUGGAGUAUACUUCAUUCAAUUUGAAAUGGCUUGAUUAGCAGGAUUUGAGCUUUGAGCAAUUUGUAGGAGUCAUUGAGUCCCAUGAGAAAUUUCAUUAUCCAAUCUAUUUCUUGGUUACUUACAACUGUCUUCAACCCUCCACAGGUGCAAUUAGGAAUAGACUCAUAAUUCAUUAACUCAUCAAGUAGUGUCUUCAGUUUUUAAAAAUAGGUACUCACAUUAUCCGGUCCCUGCAGCAGUCCAGCGAUGCUUUGCUUGACUUCAUAAAUCCUGGGAGCAUUUUGUUGAGCCCGUUGUUCUAAUUCCAGCCAAAGUUGGUGUGCUGUUUCAGCAUACGAAGUGCUUGCCUUAAUGUCUACUGCCAUGGUAUUUUGCAAUCAAGUGAUAACUAUAUCAUUACAACGAAGCCAGUGUUCUAUCAAUGGACUAUCUAUAUCAGUUGGCUCACAAAUGCUGCCAUCAAUGAAGCCAAGUUUAUUCUUGAUUUGCAGAGCCCUCUUCAUGGAACUUGCCCAAAAAUGGUAGUUACUGGAAUCAAGCAUCUAUGUAACAAGCAAUGUUCUUGAAUUUUUAUUUGCUCCAAUGAAGUAUGGACUGUUGGGAAGGGACGGAUCAUGAGGAUUUGUAUUUGAAUUUGUGUUUUGAGGUAUUGUUUGAUUUUGGUUUUCAUUUGUGUUGAUACUAUCACCAUCGUUGUCAGCCAACUUGCUCUGAUACCAUAAAUCAAAUAACAACAGAUUGUAGAAGAAAGGGGAUGAAUGAAGUUGAAUUUAUGAAAUAUAAAAAACAUUACAUUUUGUAUUUUUUGGCUAUGCAUUUUGAAAGGGG
rnacentral:lncRNA from 1 species